rnacentral:rRNA from 1 species
UAGGGAAUAUUGCGCAAUGGACGAAAGUCUGACGCAGCGAAACCGUGUGAAGGAUGAAGGUCUUCGGAUCGUAAACUUCUGUCAAUUGGAGACGAAGGCAGUAGGGUUAAUAGCCCCAAUGCCGACGGUACCCAAAAAGGAAGUCUCGGCUAACUCCGUGCCAGCAGCCGCGGUAAGACGGAGGAGGCAAGCGUUGUCCGGAAUUAUUGGGCGUAAAGAGCGCGUAGGCGGUUUUCCAAGUCAUAUGUGAAAACUUUAGGCUUAACCUAAAGAUUGCAUGUGAAACUGGAUAACUAGAGUACGGCAGAGGAAAGUGGAAUUCCUGGUGUAGCGGUGAAAUGCGCAGAUAUCAGGAAGAACACCAGUGGCGAAGGCGGCUUUCUAGGCCGUUACUGACGCUGAGGCGCGAAAGCUAGGGGAGCGAACAG